GAUGAACGCUGGCGGCGUGCUUAACACAUGCAAGUCGAGCGGAGUUGCUUAAAGGAAGUUUUCGGAUGGAAUUUAAGCAACUCAGCGGCGGACGGGUGAGUAACGCGUGGGUAACCUGCCUCAUACAGGGGGAUAACAGUUAGAAAUGACUGCUAAUACCGCAUAAGCGCACAGUGCUGCAUAGCACAGCGUGAAAAACUCCGGUGGUAUGAGAUGGACCAGCGUCUGAUUAGGUAGUUGGUGAGGUAACGGCCCACCAAGCCGACGAUCAGUAGCCGACCUGAGAGGGUGACCGGCCACAUUGGGACUGAGACACGGCCCAAACUCCUACGGGAGGCAGCAGUGGGGAAUAUUGGACAAUGGGGGAAACCCUGAUCCAGCGACGCCGCGUGAGUGAAGAAGUAUUUCGGUAUGUAAAGCUCUAUCAGCAGGGAAGAAAAUGACGGUACCUGACUAAGAAGCCCCGGCUAACUACGUGCCAGCAGCCGCAGUAA
rnacentral:rRNA from 1 species